AUGUGCAUAUAUCUGAUGGGCAUCUCUUGUUUUUGGUGGUUCGCUUCCACUUUGCAGUAUGGUUACCUGAUACAACCAAUCGAGACGCGGAUGGAAAAUGUCAAGGAUUAUAUCAAGUCUAUCAAGCCGGAUCUUGAGGUUCAUGUCGAACCAAUCAUCGACCCUUAUGGCCCCUCCAUUGUCGACGAGGCUCUGGAGGCAAUCGUUGUCAGCAAGGAGACAUUGCGAGGAGGGCAUGCUGUCAACAGGAAGAGGGCCGAGAGAGGCCUCACACAGCUGGAGAUUGAGGUGGUGGAACUAGUGCCAGAGAAAUCUACAGGGAACAAGAUCAGCUCUACAGCAUUCAGAAAGAUCGAGGCCGAAAAGGCACUGCAGCAGCAAAAGCUGGACCAGCAGGAGGAGCAACAAACAGUUCAGCUGGAGUGCAGGACAUAG
rnacentral:rRNA from 1 species